AAUUACUUCCUGGAUUUCUGUAACUGUUCAGUGUUUCAAGAUACAGAAGAUGUAUGUGGUUGAGGAUUAAGAUUGAUUAUGGAGAGAUGUACGGGAUUUUCCCAUAUUUGCGGAGAAAAUGUCCGUAUUUUUGAAGGGGGAUAUGAAGCAUCCCCGGAUCAGCGAUACUCUGGGGUCAUUUUUUCAGUGACCAACCUUUACGUCCUUCUGAUCCUAAGCUUCGGCUACAACUAGAUGGUAGUAGCCAUGUUGAUAUCGGUGUCACCCAAACUGACCCCAACUCGUUCCGUGGCCCAGAACAAGUGCGGCAACUGUAUCUAAGCGACAGGUGUAACAUCAUCAAAAACAUCAGAGUUCAUAAGAAGACGUGUAAGGCGUUUGUUCAAAACCUUGGCAACAAGGUUGUUUCUACUUACGGUGACAAGACUUUUGGAGUGUCCAUUGAUUCCAAGCAGGAUGUAUGGCUCGUUGUUUGUAUCAAACUUGGGAAUGCCAUAGUCAACAUCGAUCAACCUUCUAAGUUCCAUGAAGUCACUGGUGAACAUGUUGAAUUUGAGGGAACAAACAAACACACAGCCAAACUGAAAGUGUCCAAUCCGACUGCCAUCAUGUGUUUGAUAGGCAGAGACAGAGACAUCACUCCUGCCUUUAGGUACUACUAUGCACGGUUCUAAUGAUAUGUUGAGUGAGAUCAACAGCAAGAUGGACCAUUUGGAAAAAACUAUUUCCCAGUUGAAGAAUGUCGAGAAAAAACAACACGACAAAAUGUAUGCAGGUUACAAAGCAUUGAAGGAAAUCGUAGUGGGAAUAACCAAGCAAAACACUGCCUCCGAUAUUGUCAGUAUGGCGUCGAUCAUUCAAGCAAACUAUACCGAACUUUUAAGGGAUCUAAAACCUCGUGAGC